GUUGUUGCUGUUGCUGCUGCUGUGUGUUUCCAUCUACACUAAACAGCGACACGAUUGGGAAAGUGGAUUCAGUUCAAUUACGACAACCACGGUGAUGGCUUCAAAGUGAUGAACGACGACGACGGCGACGCCAAGGCAGAAAGCGAGGGUUAGAACGGCUAUGGUGAACAGCAGUGAAGGAGAACGGCGGCGGUGGCUUCAAAGUGGCCGCACACAUGACUCGGGUCUUUAAAACGAGGUAGUAUCG
rnacentral:misc_RNA from 1 species